rnacentral:rRNA from 1 species
GGAAUUUUCCGCAAUGGGCGAAAGCCUGACGGAGCAACGCCGCGUGAGGGAUGAAGGCCUCUGGGCUGUAAACCUCUUUUCUCAAGGAAGAAGACCUGACGGUACUUGAGGAAUAAGCCACGGCUAAUUCCGUGCCAGCAGCCGCGGUAAUACGGGAGUGGCAAGCGUUAUCCGGAAUCAUUGGGCGUAAAGCGUCCGCAGGCGGCCGUACAAGUCUGUCGCUAAAGCGUGGAGCUUAACUCCAUUCAAGCGAUGGAAACUGUAAGGCUAGAGUGUGGUAGGGGCAGAGGGAAUUCCCGGUGUAGCGGUGAAAUGCGUAGAUAUCGGGAAGAACACCAGUGGCGAAGGCGCUCUGCUGGGCCAUAACUGACGCUCAUGGACGAAAGCCAGGGGAGCGAAAGGGAUUAGAUACCCCAGUAGUC